AUUGAACGCUGGCGGCAUGCUUUACACAUGCAAGUCGAACGGCAGCACGGGGGCAACCCUGGUGGCGAGUGGCGAACGGGUGAGUAAUACAUCGGAACGUGUCCUAUUGUGGGGGAUAACCAGUCGAAAGAUUGGCUAAUACCGCAUGAGCUGGAGACGAGGAAAGCGGGGGACCCGCAAGGGCCUCGCGCGAGUUGGAGCGGCCGAUGUCCGAUUAGCUAGUAGGAGGGUAAAGGCCUACCUAGGCGACGAUCGGUAGCUGGUCUGAGAGGAUGAUCAGCCACACUGGGACUGAGACACGGCCCAGACUCCUACGGGAGGCAGCAGUGGGAAUUUUGGACAAUGGGGGCAACCCUGAUCCAGCCAUGCCGCGUGAGUGAAGAAGGCCU
rnacentral:rRNA from 1 species